rnacentral:tRNA from 5 species
GGGCGAUUAGCUCAGUUGGUUAGAGCGCCACCUUUACACGGUGGAUGUCGGGGGUUCGAGUCCCUCAUCGCCCAC